AGCCAUGCCGCGUGUGUGAAGAAGGCCUUCGGGUUGUAAAGCACUUUCAGUUGUGAGGAAAAGUUGGUAGUUAAUACCUGCUAGCCGUGACGUUAACAACAGAAGAAGCACCGGCUAACUCCGUGCCAGCAGCCGCGGUAAUACGGAGGGUGCGAGCGUUAAUCGGAAUUACUGGGCGUAAAGCGCACGCAGGCGGUUUGUUAAGCUAGAUGUGAAAGCCCCGGGCUCAACCUGGGAUGGUCAUUUAGAACUGGCAGACUAGAGUCUUGGAGAGGGGAGUGGAAUUCCAGGUGUAGCGGUGAAAUGCGUAGAUAUCUGGAGGAACAUCAGUGGCGAAGGCGACUCCCUGGCCAAAGACUGACGCUCAUGUGCGAAAGUGUGGGUAGCGAACAGGAUUAGAUACCCUGGUAGUCCACACCGUAAACGCUGUCUACUAGCUGUGUGUGAUUUUAAAUCGUGCGUAGCGAAGCUAACGCGCUAAG
rnacentral:rRNA from 1 species